rnacentral:rRNA from 1 species
UACGGAGGGCGCGAGCGUUAAUCGGAAUUACUGGGCGUAAAGCGCGCGUAGGCUGUUGUGUAAGUUGGGGGUGAAAUCCCACGGCUCAACCGUGGAACAGCCCUUGAUACUGCGCGACUUGAAUCCGGGAGAGGGUGGCGGAAUUCCAGGUGUAGGAGUGAAAUCCGUAGAUAUCUGGAGGAACACCAGUGGCGAAAGCGGCUCUCUGGUCUGUAACUGACGCUGAGGUUCGAAAGCGUGGGUAGCAAACAGG